rnacentral:rRNA from 1 species
GUAAUGUCUGGGAAACUGCCUGAUGGAGGGGGAUAACUACUGGAAACGGUGGCUAAUACCGCAUAACGUCGCAAGACCAAAGAGGGGGACCUUCGGGCCUCUUGCCAUCAGAUGUGCCCAGAUGGGAUUAGCUUGUUGGUGAGGUAACGGCUCACCAAGGCGACGAUCCCUAGCUGGUCUGAGAGGAUGACCAGCCACACUGGAACUGAGACACGGUCCAGACUCCUACGGGAGGCAGCAGUGGGGAAUAUUGCACAAUGGGCGCAAGCCUGAUGCAGCCAUGCCGCGUGUAUGAAGAAGGCCUUCGGGUUGUA